AACGUAGGUUCCGAGCGUUAUCCGGAUUUACUGGGCGUAAAGCGCGUUCAGGCGGUUUGACAAGUCGGGCAUGAAAUCUCUCGGCUCAACCGGGAGAGGUUGUCCGAUACUGUCAGACUUGAGGGCAGUAGAGGGUGGUGGAAUUCCGGGUGUAGUGGUGAAAUGCGUAGAUAUCGGGAGGAACACCUGAGGCGAAGGCGGGCUACUGGGCCGAUACUGACGCUGAGGCGCGAAAGCCAG
rnacentral:rRNA from 1 species